CGUGUAGGCGGCCAGGUAGGUCCGUUGUGAAAACCUCGAGGCUCAACCUCGAGACGCCGGCGGAAACCCUUUGGCCAGAGUCCGGAAGAGGAGAGUGGAAUUCCUGGUGUAGCGGUGAAAUGCGCAGAUAUCAGGAAGAACACCCGUGGCGAAGGCGGCUCUCUGGGACGGUACUGACGCUGAGACGCGAAAGCGUGGGGAGAAAC
rnacentral:rRNA from 1 species